AAGUCGUAACAAGGUUUCCGUAGGUGAACCUGCGGAAGGAUCAUUAUCGAAUUAUAAUCCCGACGAAGGGAAUCGAGUCGGCUGUCGCUGGCCCUUUCGCGAGGCAUGUGCACGCUUUCUUUCCUACCUUCGUCGUAUGGGCCGGGGCCGACCCGCGUCUUCAUAUACCUCUUCGUGUAGAAAGUCUUUGAAUGUUUUUUUGACAAUCGUCGAGUCGCGACUUCUAGGAGACGCGAUUCUUCGAGACAAAACGUUAUUACAA
rnacentral:misc_RNA from 1 species